AGUCAACAAGUAGACAGGUAAAUGCUCAGGUAAAAAACUACAUAGGUAGGCAGGUCCCAAGGUAAAGAGGUAGAUAGAUAAAAAGUGAGCUGGUACAAAGGAAACAGGUAAACAAGUAGAUAAGUACAAACACAGACAGGUGGACAUGCGGACAGGUAGACGGGUGGAUAGGUAGACGGGUGGACAGGUGGAUAGGUAGUUAUGUGGACAUGUGGACAUGUGGACAGGUGGACAGGCGGACAGGUAGUUAUGUGGACAUGUAGACAUGUGGACAUGUGGACAGGUAGACAGGUAGACAGGUGGACAGGCGGACAGGUAGUUAUGUGGACAGGCAGACAGGUGGACAUGUGGACAAGUAGUUAUGUGGACAUGUGGACAGGUGGACAUGUGGACAUGUGGACAUGUGGACAGGUAGACAUGUGGACAGGUGGACAGGUAGACAUGUGGACAAGUAGUUAUGUGGACAUGUGGACGGGUAGACAGGCAGACAGGUAGACAGGCGGACAGGUGGACAGGCAGACAGGCAGACAGGCAGACAGGUGGACAUGUGGACA